AUCGUAACAAGGUUUCCGUAGGUGAACCUGCGGAAGGAUCAUUACCGAGUGAGGGCCCUCUGGGUCCAACCUCCCACCCGUGUCUAUUGUACCUUGUUGCUUCGGCGGGCCCGCCGCAAGGCCGCCGGGGGGCUUCUGCCCCCGGGCCCGCGCCCGCCGAAGACACCAUUGAACGCUGUCUGAAGAUUGCAGUCUGAGCAAUUAGCUAAAUAAGUUAAAACUUUCAACAACGGAUCUCUUGGUUCCGGCAUCGAUGAAGAACGCAGCGAAAUGCGAUACGUAAUGUGAAUUGCAGAAUUCAGUGAAUCAUCGAGUCUUUGAACGCACAUUGCGCCCCCUGGUAUUCCGGGGGGCAUGCCUGUCCGAGCGUCAUUGCUGCCCUUAAGCACGGCUUAUGUGUUGGGCCUCCGUCCUUCCUUCGGGGGGACGGGCCCGAAAGGCAGCGGCGGCACCGCGUCCGGUCCUCGAGCGUAUGGGGCUUCGUCACCCGCUCUGUAGGUCCGGCCGGCGCCUGCCGAACACAUCAAUCUUUUUUCCAGGUUGACCUCGGAUCAGGUAGGGAUACCCGCUGAACUUAAGCAUAUCAAUAAGCGGA
rnacentral:sRNA from 1 species